GGGAAUGUGGCUUAGUGGUAGAGUACUUGCCUAGUAUGCAUGAAAACUUCUCUAUAUUCCUA
rnacentral:tRNA from 1 species